ACCAACUGUAAACUUGGUUGCGCCCAUCUCUUUUCCAAUUUAGCAGUUGAUGUUGUUGUUGGUGGUGGUGAAGAGAGAAGGUGGGAUAAAAUGGAAGUUCCCACAAAGUGGAGAAAGCAAGACCGACAGCCGGACAUAAGAGGGUCUAGCAGCACAGAGACACAGGGAGAAGGAGAGGCACAGUGAAAGCAGUGGCCAGGCAGGGACAUGCUCUGGGGAUACAGAUCAGAGGAGAGAGAGAGAGAAGCCGCUGCCUCAUCUAGGACUCGACCACUCACAUAUGAGAUGAGAUGUGACAGUGGAGCGACUUGAACCUUUUUGAAAUAGAAGUUAUGUCUACGAUGGCGAAGUAUUCAGCAGGUUGUGGAUUCGGCAGAGUGAAUUGACAUGAUGGACAAAGAGCUGAUUCUUCAUAUGAAUACCAAAGAAGAAGAGCCAACAAGUAAAUACGAUGACUUCAGAUCUUCCUGCCUCCACCUCAAACUUCUGUCUCUGCCGGCUCUGAAACCAGACCCACCUGUCGGAUGUGCCGUGAUGAUACCUGGAUGUGUUACCGAGAUGAAAGCCACACAUGCCGAGCAGCUUCUUUUAAAUUCUUUUUCAAGCAGCAGAAUCAGCUGAGCGAGGAGAGACGCACACAUCCAUCCAUCCUUCUGUGGGAGCCCCGCCCCCUGCUGCUCGUUAGGACACCUCCAAACUCGUUAACUCAUAUCGCUCUCCUCUUCCUCUACAUCUCCUCCUCCUCACCCAUCCUCAGCUUCUUCUUCACCUCUGUCAUCUCUCGUCUGAGGCUGAGCUGCUGCUGAUGGAGCGGCGCUCUGGGCUCCGACUGAUGGAGCUUUAGUGACAUCUAGUGGUUAAAUGUCAGAACUGCAACAGAACAGGAGACAAAGACAGACUCAGGAAAGUCGUUUGUUGAAGGAGCGGAAACAGAAUUAUCACUUCAACAACAACACCUUUGAUGACAUUUACUGUCUUGACACAUCAAGUGAACACAGCGCUGGAUUUGAAGUCAUUUGUGUUUCUGUCUUCACUUCAUCUGUGUCUCCAAACGUCAUCUGGCUGCUUGUUAAAAGACAAAAAUGAAAUCAAGGCUAAAGCUGCAAGUUGGAUCGACUCUUUAUGUCAGAAUCAAGACACUUUAUUGAUCCCGAGUGGGGAAAUUGGAUGCCAUACAGUUUCUCCUUCUAGAAUAGAAAUGUCUCAGUGUGGAGGAAUUUAAAAUAUAAAACUGGAGAAUAGAGUAUGUAAAAAUAAAAGUAUACAAUGUA